UUAGAAAACACAUCAGCAUUUUACCCAUUCUUUCUCUUUAGUUUCAACCGUUCGCAAAAAGGGGUCUGUAAACCCUAAAAAAAAAUUCUCCCGGAGAAGACGGCCGAAGGCGGCGCCUCCUUCCUUCUCCGGUCACCCUACCCCAAAACACCAUCUAGCUUACUAAACACGACCUUCUGAGGUCGAAUCUGAACCCAAAAUUUCCUAAACCAUGCUCGAACCUUCUAGAUCUCUAAACCCUUACCGCGAAAUCUAAGUUCUUGCAUGUGGUGAUUUAAGAGAAUUAAUGGGGAUUUUGUUUCACUUACCACGGCAGAGGAGAUGGAAAGGCGAUUUCAGGCGGAGAAGAGUGCUUUGAUCCGAGUCCGUCGCCGGCAACCCGUCACAGUGAAGUGAUGUUGAUUAGGAAAGGAGGCGGCGCCAGCUUGGGAUUGGGGCGUUGGAGCUUCCAAAAGAGCUUUUGGAAAAGUCUUGGAAGCUGCUUCAAUCUGUUGGAUACUCAAUUUGUUCAAUUUUUCUUCAAAUUUAUUUAGCUGUAACAAAUCUUUUGGAUUGUAACCUUAGGGACUAAUCAUGUAACCUCUGUUGAAUUAUUUGUAAGAUCUGCAUAUUUUAAACUCUUUUGAUUAUGCCUUGGCCUUUUUUGGAGUAAUUUGUAACAUUUGGAUUUAAUUAGAACUUUGAAUAUGAAAAUUGGGGUUGAAACGUAUAACCUCCUGUAUCA